rnacentral:rRNA from 1 species
GACGAACGCUGGCGGCGUGCCUAAUACAUGCAAGUCGAACGCUGAAGGAGGAGCUUGCUUCUCUGGAUGAGUUGCGAACGGGUGAGUAACGCGUAGGUAACCUGCCUGGUAGCGGGGGAUAACUAUUGGAAACGAUAGCUAAUACCGCAUAAGAGUAGAUGUUGCAUGACAUUUGCUUAAAAGGUGCAAUUGCAUCACUACCAGAUGGACCUGCGUUGUAUUAGCUAGUUGGUGGGGUAACGGCUCACCAAGGCGACGAUACAUAGCCGACCUGAGAGGGUGAUCGGCCACACUGGGACUGAGACACGGCCCAGACUCCUACGGGAGGCAGCAGUAGGGAAUCUUCGGCAAUGGACGGAAGUCUGACCGAGCAACGCCGCGUGAGUGAAGAAGGUUUUCGGAUUGUAAAGCUCUGUUGUAAGAGAAGAACGAGUGUGAGAGUGGAAAGUUCACACUGUGACGGUAUCUUACCAGAAAGGGACGGCUAACUACGUG